rnacentral:rRNA from 1 species
UACGUAGGGUGCGAGCGUUAAUCGGAAUUACUGGGCGUAAAGUGUGCGCAGGCGGCAGAGCAAGUCGAGUGUGAAAGCCCCGGGCUUAACUUGGGAACUGCCAUUGAUACUAUUUGUCUUGAAUACUGUGGAGGUUAGCGGAAUAUGUCAUGUAGCGGUGAAAUGCUUAGAUAUGACAUAGAACAUCAAUUGCGAAGGCAGCUGGCUACACAAAUAUUGACACUGAUGCACGAAAGCGUGGGGAUCAAACAGG